UACGUAGGGGGGCUAGCGUUAUUCGGAAUUACUGGGCGUAAAGCGCACGUAGGCGGCUUUGUAAGUCAGAGGUGAAAUCCUGGAGCUCAACUCCAGAACUGCCUUCGAUACUGGAAGACUUGAGUAUGGGAGAGGUGAGUGGAAUUUCCGGUGUAGCGGUGAAAUGCGUAGAUAUCGGUAGGAACACCCGUGGCUAAGGCGGCUCUCUAGUACGGUACUGACGCUGAGACGCGAAAGCGUGGGGGAGCGAACAGG
rnacentral:rRNA from 1 species